GUGGGGAGUGAGGAAGGAGGGAGGUGGGGAGUGAGGAAGGAGGGAUGUAGGGAGUGAGUGAGGAAGGAGGGAUGUAGGGAGUGAGUGAGGAAGGAGGGAUGUAGGGAGUGAGUGAGGAAGGAGGGAUGUAGGGAGUGAGUGAGGAAGGAGGGAUGUAGGGAGUGAGUGAGGAAGGAGGGAUGUAGGGAGUGAGUGAGGAAGGAGGGAGGUAGGGAGUGAGGAAGGAGGGAGGUAGGGAGUGAGGAAGGAGGGAGGUAGGGAGUGAGGAAGGAGGGAGGUAGGGAGUGAGGAAGGAGGGAGGUAGGGAGUGAGGAAGGAGGGAGGUAGGGAGUGAGGAAGGAGGGAGGUAGGGAGUGAGGAAGGAGGGAUGUAGGGAGUGAGUGAGGAAGGAGGGAGGU